rnacentral:rRNA from 1 species
UACGUAGGGUGCGAGCGUUGUCCGGAAUUAUUGGGCGUAAAGGGCUCGUAGGCGGUUUGUCGCGUCGGGAGUGAAAACCUCGGGCUUAACUCGGGGCUUGCUUUCGAUACGGGCAGACUAGAGGUAUGCAGGGGAGAACGGAAUUCCUGGUGUAGCGGUGAAAUGCGCAGAUAUCGGGAGGAACACCGGUGGCGAAGGCGGUUCUCUGGGCCUGACCUGACGCUGAGGAGCGAAAGCGUGGGGAGCGAACAGG